CGAAAGUAUGUCACUUUCGAUGAUAACUCAAAGGGUAAGGUGGUUGGCCUUGGUAAGGUGGCCAUCUCACAUGAUAGCUCCAUACAAAAUGUUAUGCUCGUUGAAUCUCUUGGCUAUAAUCUACUUUCCGUAUCUAGACUUGCUGACUUUGGUUUCAAUGUCCUAUUCACUGAAGUAGAUUGCCAAGUGUUUCGUAGAGAUAAUCAUAAAAUGGUCUUUACCGGUAUACGUAGAGGUGAUCUUUACAUUGUUGAUUUCACUAAAAAGUCUCAACCUAUAACUUGCUUAAUUGCUAAAUCUUCUAAAGGUUGGUUGUGGCAUAGAAGAUUAGGUCAUGUGGGCAUGCGAAAUCUUGAUAAUAUUAUUAAAGGUAAUCAUAUCCUUGGAGUAAAAGAUGUUAUAUUUGACAAGGAUAGAUUGUGCAGUGCUUGUCAAGCAGGAAAACAAGUUGGAGGAAGUCAUCCUGUGAAGAAUAUCAUGACCGCGAGAAGACUGCUCGAGCUACUUCAUAUGGAUCUCUUUGGUCCCAAUGCC
rnacentral:rRNA from 1 species